rnacentral:lncRNA from 1 species
CUCACUCUCACUGCCGCCAUUGUGAUUUCUCAACCUCUCUCUCAUCUACGUUCCACUAGGCAGCAAGCACGGCCAUUCUCUUGCUCUCGCCACCAGAAUUCCUCUCUCUCUUGUCUCUUUGAGCUGUUGACACGGCGCCACCUUCCUUCUAUCGACACAAUCAACAAUGCAACCGAAACGAGACCACAAUAGGUAGCAGGGGAAUCUUUUAAGAAGGCAUUGGCCACUUAGCACUGAACCAUGAGCUCUUUGAACUGGUGAAGUUGAUUUGACAAUCGGUAAAAGAAGAAGUUGAUUUGAUCGGCAGAAGAAGGUGAAUCCCUUUCAUUUCUCUCUCUUUUUUUUUUUUUUUUAGUACGACUAUGAUAGACCCUGAAGGAACAGGCGGUCAAACCCUAGAUACUUAGCUAUGAUGAUUGCAGACUGUGGAAGACCAAUGGAUGCUUGACUUUUCACAAGUGGGCGGGUUGUUGUUGAGUUUGCUUAUGAGUUUGCUAAGUUUAUUUAGGAAGUAACCGUUGGUUUGACGACUAUAAAUAAGUUUGCAGACAUGUAGAUGAGGAGUAACUAAAAAUUGAUUGUGUUUGUGGUGAUAUCUCCUACACAAAUUGGAGACUUUAUUGCAAUUUAAAUAUUUUCAGCUUGAGUUUUUUCUUUUGUAGCUUUGAUUUCUGAUCAUCAAAACUGGUUCUGGAGUCAUUUAUAAUAAGGUGUCUGGCAGAUGUUUUUAUACCUACUGAGGUUUGGUGGCAGAGUCAUUUAUAAUAAGGUUUAGAUACAAAUAAACAAGCAUAGAGAGGAGACAGAGUAGCAGUUUAAACAAGAACUGAGAUUUGGUGGUAGCAUGGUAGAGUUAACAACUAACAAAUCAAAAGUUCAUUCUCCGAAGACAUUCACAACCACUAAAAUAGAACCAACUAGCAAAUAUGGAAAUAAUAGUGCCAUUAAAAUAGAACCAAAAAAUACAUCUUUAGGCAGAUUACGCAUGCUCGUAUCAAAAGGAAAUAGUACACGAACACAUCAAACUCCUAGAGAAUACAAGCUACUAAUAUGGAAUAUUAUGAAGGUGCAAAAACAAUGACACUCUAAGUGACAACUUAGCCAAUAUCCCAGAUUACUAAACUUCUUUAACUCUUAGAUAAUUAUAAUUUAGCACAAUCUGGUCUUGAAUAAAUUUACUUGGGCCAGAGUUGCACUACUUUUAAUAAUUAAAGAUAAAGAAAUCAACCAGACAAAUCGGAAGAUUUCUCCAUCCAGUAAGCUUAAACUAAUCUAAUUUUCAUAGAUAUUACUCAUUCUAGACUUUAGAAAAGAACAAAAGUCAAAAUUAUGUGCAAGGAUAUUUUACACCAUUUCACUAUUUCUGUUCUAUUAAUGGAUUCAAAUUAGGAACCUUGGUUCCAUAUCUUUAGCUAUGCCAUACCAAACAUGGGAUAUUCAACAGAAAUUCCACCCAUAUAUUCCCAAGUGAAUUCUGUUCUAUUGAAAAUCACUUACUAAAUUAUUAACAUUAUUGCGUCUGCUUUUCCUAAUCCCCUGAAGGUCUCACUCAUCAAUUGCUGCUAUAUUCUUUCUUUCUUGCAAUUACAUGAAGCCGAACUGAGUUCUAAGAUAGAGUUCUCUUGUGCCUGUGUCUUCUUGGAUCUCGUCUAUGUAUAAGGAUUGGGUUGGAACUCGUUUGAAGCUUUGGUUAUAAAAUCAUUUACACAACUUUUGGACAUUUUGAUAGUUCUUUUUGUUGUAAACCAUUUUUCUUUGGUUAGAUAGUGUAUAUCUUUGAAUUGGAUUACUUAUUGUGUUUUGAUGAAGUAAUAGUAUAUGGGAUCAUGCUUAUUGAUUUAAAUGAAGUACUUUUAAUUUUUUGUUGUCUUAAAGCACUUGUGUGUAGAUUGUUGUAAAUAGGUUUUUAAUUCAUAGGUUUGAAAUGAAAGAAAAAAUGUGAAAUAAUUGAUCACAAAAAUAAAAAUGACAUUUGUUGUCAAAAAUUCGUUUGCAACGUUCGUUGCACGUUGCGAAAAGCCUCAUUCGCAACGUUCAAUGAACGUUGCAAAAGCCUCAUUCGCAACGUUCAAUGAACGUUGCAAAAGCCUCAUUCGCAACGUUCAAUGAAUGUUGUCAAAACUCUUCACUCUACGGCAACAUUGAAACCCACAACAGACGCCUAAACGUUGCAAUGGUCUAUGACAACGUUUUCUGACCGUUGCAAAAGGUGAUUUUUGGUGUAGUGUUUAUUUCCAUUCGUGAAUUUGUAUCCUCUUAACCAAUAUCUAGUUAUCUAGACCAGGGCAUAUUUCUGUCCAAGCCUCUUUUAUUCAAUCCAAAACUUAUUUGCCAUUGAUUGAAUGCUAGAUUUUCAUUCUAAAAUUGGGCAAACUAAAAAGUAUUUCUAAAUUAGAUGUGACUUUGAAUAUGCUAUUUUUUUGUUUCUAUACCUUACAUAAUAUUUGGACAAUGAUUUUUUUCUUUUUUUAAUACAGAAAUCAAACAUUGUAACUUAAAAUUGUUACACCAUCAUCUCACAAUUGACACCACCAUGAUCUAACUACUCUCAGCUCUGUUUUUCACCCUCGAUGAUCAAGUGCCAAAGCUAGCAGCCAGCUAGCAAAAUUGCGACAACUUUUUCUCCACCAAGACUUAAAAAUCAAGUUUUCAAUUAUUCAAAAUCCUUUUACCAAACAAACUUCCAAUCCUUGAUGAACUUUGAUCCCUUUUCAAUUGAAGUUCCAACUUAAGAAGACUACGGAUCCUUUUUAUUAAUUUACCAACCUAAUCCUAAUCCCAAUAAAAAUUCAGGUCAUACUCUAACAUGUAUAAUUAAAUGAAUCAAUAAUUUUACCUUUAAUUAACCAAUCACAUAAUAGCAUAUAAUCACAUAAUAGCAUAUAGACAGAUGUUCUAGCACUAGUGAUAUUAGAUAAUAUUACUCAUUUUUAAAAAUUAAAACUAUAAGUCUUUUGGAAUCAAAUUUUAAGGGUCAACUCUUCAGAAUAAAGAGUAUUUAACUUUUAAAAAGUCUUUGAAAGAUGCUCUUAAUUCUUUACCUAUAGAAAGCUUGUUGUCCGUGCCACUUGCAGAAACAAGAAAUGGAAGAGGAAGAGCUUGAAUUGGUUGUUUUUUAUCCAACCUAAACUCAACCUAAUAUGAUCGAUUUAAUCGAAAAUCACACCAAUCCAACUCAGUUACUAGUUUAAACCCAACCCAACCUAAAUCGAUCAAGCUUGGGUUGGUCUUCGUUCGAAACCUGCAACCCCAUGGAUUGUUAGCAAGUAAUAAAUUUAGUGAGUUGAGAUUAUAGUCCCACCUGGAUUAAAUUCAAUUCAAGUUCACUAGUUUCUCAUGGAAUUCAAAUUAAGUAAAACAAAGGGAAUUUAAUUUUGUGAUUAUUCUAAAUUAAUCUAAGAAAAUGGUAAAAUUAGAGUUUUUAUCAAAUAUAGAUGAUUGUAUUGGAUCUAGAAUCUGCCUACUGCUAUCUAUUUCAAUUAUUGAUUCAUAAUCUAAUUCUGUUUAUGCGUGCUUGACAAUUGAUAAAGUUAUGAUAUAUAAUUUCAUUUCUCAAGACAAAUUAAAUCUAUCCUAAGCAUGAUCCGGGUCUAUUCCUAGGCCAAUUUUGAAUUAUUAGAACGCAUUAAAAUUUGGAUUAUCUGUAUGAUUGCACACAUGAUAAAUGUUAUUCCUAACAUCUAUCGUACAUAUGUUAAUUUUGCUAUGUUCAGAAUUUUUUGUGAGUCUCACAACAUUAUAACAAGAAAGUAAUUAUCUAAUUAGUGGCCAAUCAAUUAAAUAGUGCAAUGAGUAUGAAAAAUUAAUCAAGAAACAUAAUAAUUAAAUGAAAUUACUAGUCUUGAAUAAAAAUAAAUAAACAAUAGGGUUCAUCUCAUCCAUUACAUGAAAAGAAUUAACCUAACAUGUUAUUUAAUAAAUCAUACAAAAAGAUUUGAAAAAACAUCGCCCGAAAUUGAAAACUAUGAUCGGAAAGUGACAGAUCAACUUCUUCUUCCUUAAUCUUCAACCCGUACUUUGAAUCUUUAAUCUCUCAUGUUAAUCGACUUUGAAUCCCGUGCUAGCCUCUUUCUUGCGGUGAAAAAUAUGUAUAUUAUGUGCUUCCCCGUUCUAGCCAUCCCCUGUAGCUUAAAUAGUAGGUUAUUUGAUUUUAAGAGUUCAGGUUUAAAAAAAAAAUAAAAAAAUGGGCGUUGUGCCAUUUAGGCCCAAAAAUGGCCCCCACGCGCACCGUAUAAUUCAUUGUGUGCAGGUCAUUCACUGAUUUUUCUCUCGAUAAAUGGAUCAUACGGUGUUGCACACGCGAGAAUUAGAUUAUGCUCACAUAUCGUUAUGAAAAUUUUUCUUUUGAUGCAUUUUGGUCCUUUAAUUUCAUUCUUCAUUCAUUUUAGCUCCUUUCGGUAUCUUCUUGGUCCUCCACUUUCUCCAAUCAUUGAUAUUAGGUCCAAAUCAACUAUCAGCAGCACUUUGCAAUUCCCAAACUUUGGAUUUAGUUCAUUUUGGCUAAUUUUUCGCUGCUUCUAUCUACUUCUAUCAUCUUUCAUCAAGAUACACCUAAGAAAUGUAAUAUAUAAAAAUUAAGCCUCAAUUUAUUUAAAAUAAUAAUAAUUGUUCUAAUUUAAUGAUUAAGGAAAGUGUACAAAAUACACUUAUCAAAUACCCCCAAAUUUGAACAAUUGUUUGUCAUCAAACAAUAUAAAACUUAACUACAUAAAAUUUUCACAAAUAACUUGAUUGAAUAACCUGCCUUUAGCCUCAGGAUUAGACUGAAGUUGAAACUAUAAACUAUUUCAAAAUCAUAAUGCUAAGUCAAUCUCUACAUAUCCAAUUCAAAAUUGAUGUGUGUGUGUGUGUGUGUGAGGAUUCAUGUAAAUGAAGUCAUAAAUUAAUUCAAUUCUUGACCUCUGUGGCCAAAUAUUUCGUUUCUUCCCUCGUAAGAUCCAAACUCUUAAAUUUUAUUCUCUUCUCCUAAGGUGUGAUCUGAGGUUAACUUAUAAAAAAAGAAGCACUAAUCCUUCUACUAUAAAAAUAGCUUUUUACGACAUUUAUUUAUGGUGUGCAAAUAGGGCAUACCGCAAAAAUAGACUAUUUACGGCAUGCCUUAAAUGAGUGCCAUGAUAAUUCAAUUAAAUAAAGCAUUCACGGCAUACAUUUUGGGCACGCCAUAAAAGUAGACUAUUUACGGCAUGCCUUAAAUGUGUACUGUCGAAUAGAGGCCAAAGGAGAUAAUUGUUUCUAUUCACAGUACUCAUCCACUAGGCCUAGCUAGCAUUCCUCAAAUUCUCAACCAAAAAUCACUCCCAUAUUCCACACACUCUCUUCAGCCACUACGUUUAAACAUCCUCCAUUCAUAAAGUUUGGUUAUAUUUCUCUCUCCAUUUUUGUAUUCAAAAUUAUUCUUCUUAUUUCAAUGAUUUUUUAAAUUGAAAUGUAAAAUUGUAAUGUUGGGUGAUUUUUUCAUUUAUUUUUCACAGUUCUUUAUGUAAUUUUUUGUGAUUUAACAUGAUCCUGACUUUAAUUCUCUAUUACUAUUUUUUUUUUUUUUUUUUUAACACUUUGUCACUUUCACAAUGUUGCUGGAAUUUUCUCUCGUGUCUCCUAAUUGCACUUUUUUGUCGGAUAUUCGACAAUAGACUGAAGUCAUUUAGUCCAAAAUGGAUUGCAAGAAUGAUUAAGUUUCUGUAUACAAAGAUUCAAUUUAUACUUCCCAUAGGUUCUAUUCUACAUCACAUUUAGUUAAUUUACAAAACCUUCUCUAUGGAUCUAGGUACUUGACUGGGUUUAGUUUUCAUUGUGCUCGGGGGUUCUUAGAAAAGGAAUAAAAAAGUCUAGACAUUCACUUUUAUGUAUGAUGUAGUUGUUUAACUUGUGUUUCAUUCCUAAAAGCUUAAUCUCACUGGUUGGUGUGCUAUUGCAGACAACCAAAAAUAAAACCUAUACUCAUAAAAAUAUAUGUAGUAGUACAAGUAAGGAUCGUUCCCACGAAGAGUGUCAAAUCUAACUUCAUGCUAAGUAAACAAUGAUGGAGGUUCUAAUCAUAACGCAACCAAUUUAAAAAAAAAUAACUAAUGAGCAAUGCAAAUUAAUGAAUCGAAAUAAAUCAAAAGGAUAAACUUUGAUCGAAGUUAACAUCCACCGUCCUAUCUCUCCUUAGUUGCAAUUAAUUAGAAAACUAUUGAUUCAAUUAACCCCAAUUAUUAAACAACCUAAGAUAGGCACUAAGGUUUAGUCUAAUAACAGUCUUAAGAAUUAGAGAGAUCGAUGAAACUAAAUAAUACAAGCACAAGCAGUCAUACUUAAUCUAGUCAAACGUUCUUCCUAUGAUUUAACAAUUUCUAAUGCAUCAAACCAUUAAAUUCUAGUUGUUUCAAACAAUUACAGAUUUGAUAUUUAACCAAGCAAUAGAUUGUAGCAAAUAAUAAACUAGAAGGCCUCCUGGUAAUUAAACGUAACAAUUAUGAAAAUACGUGAAGAAGAACAUUCAAUACUCAAAACAUGAAUUAAACAAUGAAAAUAAUUUAGAUCUCAUAGGUUGAUUGGUUCCGAGGCUUCAGUUUUCUUCGAUCAAGUACAAAAGUUUAGCGACACAUAAAAAUUGAAAGUCUAAAAGAGAGGAGAAGGGGAUGGGAGACGUGUUCCUCUUUUUUCCCCAAUUUGUUUCCAUAAGAGUUUAAAUUAAUUUUGAAAACUAAGAUUGUUGCGUCCAUACGAUCCAUGCGAUCGCAUAGUUCAUUGAAAAUAAAGCUCUGAAAUCUCUGAAAAUGGGUAUGCAACCUCAUGGAAUUUUCUACUAUGCAACCGCAUAGUAGUGAAAAAUCCAAAAGUUACAUUUUAGUCCUUGAACUUUUUUUUCACGUUUCUUGACUUCUUUUCUCAUUUCUUCUUCUUCCAAUACUUUAUGAUUUCUAUAAAUUAGCCUUCAAAUCUUUCAAACAUUCAUUUUGUCUUCUAGGCAAUCUUUUUGGUUGUUUGCACUUCGAUAUUUUCUUCCAUUUUGGUCCUUUUUCGCUUGUUUCUUCUAAAUUCUACCUUAUUCAUCCAUUUGCAUCCUAAAUCAAAAUAUAAGAAUAAUGAAUACAUUUAAGCACCAAAUAAUUAUAAAAGCAAUAGCAUUAAGGGAGGAAAAAUAUGACAUUUUACAUUCUCAUCAAUGGUCUUGAACGAUACACAUUGCUGCUAUUGUGCCCUAUUUAAUGCUCAUGAUGGGGCAGUAUUUUCCAGUGAACAAGCAGAACAAGCUUCCAGUUCUGAAACUUGGUUGAAGACUAAUAAAUGCCUGGAUAGAUUAAUACUAAGGUUUGAACUAUUCAUAUGCUUAUUGCAUGUUUUCUAGCACUUGUUUCCUUGAGUUUUCUUUGUUUCUAGGAUAUCAUGGACUUGUAUAUCUAAUUAGUCACUAUUGCAUUCAUCUACAUGUUAAAUCACUGGAGAGUCGUAGUAUAUUACUAGUCGUGAUGAAAAUGUGCAGCCAUGUAAACUAUGAUUAGUAGAUUAUGUAUUAUUACAAGUGUGGUAGAAAUGACCAUUUUUUCUCGUGGCGUUAAUCAAAUAUUUUGUGUAUUAAAAUAUAGGAUGCUGAUA